rnacentral:lncRNA from 1 species
CUGACAUGAAAUUUGGUAGCUGCCCUUAACUGCUGGAGAAAGUCUACAGUCUCUUUAAGACAAGGCAAGGGGGUGGGAGCUGGGUGAGAGAGCGGGGAUCUGCAAGACGCAGGGAUCAAACAGUCCACCUCCGAUCCACUUUUCUAGAGCAGCUCUUUCCGCCGGGAAGGAACGUGGCAUCGGUUAGUCCCUGAGAGAUUCGCUUCUCAUAAAGUAACUUGUGAAAUUGGACGCCGUGUGCAGGAACAGUGGCUCUUCAAUGAAGAUAUCACUGCGACGAGAGGAAUAAUGGGCUACAGAAGAAAGACCCUGGCAUCUUAGGGAGAAGCAGAGGAGGUGAGAGAAGAGGCAGCCCGGGGCAGGGUGCCCAGAGG